rnacentral:rRNA from 1 species
GAUGAACGCUGGCGGCGUGCCUAAUACAUGCAAGUCGAGCGAACAGACGAGGAGCUUGCUCCUCUGACGUUAGCGGCGGACGGGUGAGUAACACGUGGAUAACCUACCUAUAAGACUGGGAUAACUUCGGGAAACCGGAGCUAAUACCGGAUAAUAUAUUGAACCGCAUGGUUCAAUAGUGAAAGACGGUUUUGCUGUCACUUAUAGAUGGAUCCGCGCCGCAUUAGCUAGUUGGUAAGGUAACGGCUUACCAAGGCAACGAUGCGUAGCCGACCUGAGAGGGUGAUCGGCCACACGGGAACUGAGACACGGUCCAGACUCCUACGGGAGGCAGCAGUAGGGAAUCUUCCGCAAUGGGCGAAAGCCUGACGGAGCAACGCCGCGAGAGUGAUGAAGGUCUUCGGAUCGUAAAACUCUGUUAUUAGGGAAGAACAAAUGUGUAAGUAACUAUGCACGUCUUGACGGUACCUAAUCAGAAAGCCACGGCUAACUACGUG